AAAACAUUUCGUCAUAAAACCUCUGGACCAAAUUCGAGCACUCAACUCCCUCUUCUUCCCUCAGCUUUCCCUGCGUGAAGCCAUUUCAUCGUCCGUCGCCGGUGGUACUUACAGAGUGAAGAUGAACCUCUCACUUCCUCCCACUCUCUCUCCUCCCUAAAACCCCUCUUAAACCCCCAAUUUCCAUUUUCCACAACCCUAACUCCAUAACCCUAAUUUCCACCCCUUCUCUCAAUUCCCCCCAAAUCCUACGCUUGUGAUGUAUUCCCGCCGCCUGUAGAUCUUGUUUUGCCGCCGGAAUGUAGAUCUUGUUUUGCCGCCGGAAUCGGUUAUGAAAGAAACGAGUACUUCACCGCCGCCUGUAGAUCCUGUUUUGCCGCCGGAAUGUGAGAUUUAUGCGGUGGUGGAGAGGAUGUGGAUUCCGUUAAGCCCGAGGAAGUGGCUGCAGCUGCCACCGCUGCUCCUACUGCCCCAGUUUCCUCGCCGCCGAUCCCUGAUGGGAAUUCGCCGGUUGUGGUGGAACAAACGAGGAGUUUGUUUUCGCCAAUGAGAAUUUACCAGAAACAAAGCAUGGGUUUAGAGACAUCGACAACUCCUUGGCUUAGGCUCUUGUCACAGUAUGCACAGAAUCAAACUUUACCUAUAUCAGUGCCCGUUUUCUCAGUUGGUUCAAACAGACAAUGUAAUCUCAUUUUGAGAGAUCAAACGGCGAGUGGGAUCCUUUGCCGGAUAAAAAAUACUAAGCGUGAAGGCUGCAUGAUUGAUGUUCUUGAAAGCACAGGAAGCAAGGGAUCUGUGUUUGUAAAUGGGAUGAGUGUGAAGAAGAACACCAGCCGUCUUUUGCAUUCUGGGGAUGAAGUAGUUUUCGGAGUGGCAGGAAGUCAUGCUUAUGUAUCCUUUAUUUGAUUUAUUUCUUCUAUUGUGUUUGUAGAUUUAUUGAAUUGCAUUUUAGGCAGUAAAAGGCGUGUCUUGAAUUCCUGAUUGAUGCAGUCUUCAUAUUCUUGCUUGUCGUUUGAGUUUUGUUUGAGAGAAGAGGACUCUCAGCAGCCCGGAGCAUGAACAUAGAAAUCAGAAGUGACUAUGAUCUUCUAGGAAGGAGCAUGAACAUAGAAACCAGUCAACAUGGUGCUGACCCGAAUCUUGGUUUACAAGGAGAAAAACCUUUGAUUGUGGCUUUAUCUUCUGGCAAUAUACAGAUUAUCAAAUGCUUGCUUAAAGCUGGAGCUGAUCCUAAUACUACUAAUUUUGUGAGUGAAAGAUAACACUCACACGCUUUUAAGAGUUUUGGCCUUAAACUCGUAUUCUUAUCUACCUUUCUCUGAGUGAAUAUGCGUGUGAGUAUUCAUCUGUUUCAUCUACAAUCUCCUCCUGUACGAUAUUCAUCAGGGAACCCAUUUUGGACUUAUUACUGUGUCUUCUAUUUCAGUAUGAUUAUACACCUAUUGAAAUUGCGGUUGUUGAAGGUAAUCUUGCAGUUGUAGACACCCUCUUUGAUGUUUCUGCUCGUAUUCCUCAUAUUCCGACCUGGAGCAUUCAUGGAAUUCACGAGUAUCUCAACUCCGAGGAAGAAAAAACUCAGGAGGAGAUUGUAGAUGAAACAGAUGAAUAUAUUGAUGUUCAUAAGAGAAUACGUGUUGCUGCAUAUUACAGCUGCUACCUUAGUUGCACGUGUUCCAUCAAUCCGGAGGUUGACUAGCCAAAAAGCUCUUGUCUAUACUCCGAGGACUGCGCCUUAUGCUAGUGAGGAAAUUGAUGUGGUUCGUGAGCAAUGGGCGAAGUUUUUUACCACCAAGUAUUUAUUAUUGACCUGAGGGCGCUUGAUCGUGUUGGUUUAGAUGUUAUAGAACAAUCUUUUAUGUUAAAAUGUAUGCGUACGUUGAAAUUGGAACGUAAAUAUAUUUAAAUGUAUCGGUAUGUGCACUUUUGGUUUUGGGAUAUAUACAAAACUCCAGUUGUUGUUUUUAUA